GCCGCGAUAGCUCAGUUGGUAGAGCAACUGAUUCGUAACCAGUAGGUCGGAGGUUCGAUUCCUCUUCGCGGCACCA
rnacentral:tRNA from 1 species